AUACCGUGGUGAGGGCAUCUAUGAAGUAACUCCUUGAAUCUUCCCCAUUGCUUGUAUAGGGACUCAUCAUCCAUUUGUUUGAAAGUGGUGAUCUUAUUCUGCAACU
rnacentral:snoRNA from 1 species